rnacentral:rRNA from 1 species
CAUGAACGCUAGCUACAGGCUUAACACAUGCAAGUCGAGGGGAAACGACAUCGAAAGCUUGCUUUUGAUGGGCGUCGACCGGCGCACGGGUGAGUAACGCGUAUCCAACCUGCCCACCACUUGGGGAUAACCUUGCGAAAGUAAGACUAAUACCCAAUGAUAUCUCUAGAAGACAUCUGAAAGAGAUUAAAGAUUUAUCGGUGAUGGAUGGGGAUGCGUCUGAUUAGCUUGUUGGCGGGGUAACGGCCCACCAAGGCGACGAUCAGUAGGGGUUCUGAGAGGAAGGUCCCCCACAUUGGAACUGAGACACGGUCCAAACUCCUACGGGAGGCAGCAGUGAGGAAUAUUGGUCAAUGGGCGAGAGCCUGAACCAGCCAAGUAGCGUGCAGGAAGACGGCCCUAUGGGUUGUAAACUGCUUUUAUAAGGGAAUAAAGUGAGUCUCGUGAGACUUUUUGCAUGUACCUUAUGAAUAAGGACCGGCUAAUUCCGUGCCAGCAGCCGCCGUAAAAC